rnacentral:rRNA from 1 species
AUUGAACGCUAGCGGGAUGCCUUACACAUGCAAGUCGAACGGAGUGGCGAACGGGUGAGUAAUGUAUCGGAACGUGCCCAUUAGCGGGUGAUAACUACGCGAAAGCGUAGCUAAUACCUCAUACUAUUUGAGCGGCCGAUCUGUGAUUUGCUAGUUGGUGGGGUAACGGCUCACCAGGGCGACGAUCCGUAGCUGGUUUGAGAGGACGACCAGCCACACUGGGACUGCGAGACGGCCCAGACUCCUACGGGAGGCAGCAGUGGGGAAUUGUGGACAAUGGGGGAAACCCUGAUCCAGACAUCCCGCGUGUGCGAUGAAGGCCUUCGGGUUGUAAAGUACUUUCAGCGAGGAGGCGUUACUCGCAGAAGAAGCACCGGCUAACUCCGUGCCAGCCGCCGCGGUAAUAC